rnacentral:rRNA from 1 species
GACGAACGCUGGCGGCGUGCUUAACACAUGCAAGUCGAACGGAAAGGCCCUGCUUUUGUGGUGUGCUCGAGUGGCGAACGGGUGAGUAACACGUGAGUAACCUGCCCUUGACUUUGGGAUAACUUCAGGAAACUGGGGCUAAUACCGGAUAGGAGCUCCUGCUGCAUGGUGGGGGUUGGAAAGUUUCGGCGGUUGGGGAUGGACUCGCGGCUUAUCAGCUUGUUGGUGGGGUAGUGGCUUACCAAGGCUUUGACGGGUAGCCGGCCUGAGAGGGUGACCGGCCACAUUGGGACUGAGAUACGGCCCAGAGUCCUACGGGAGGCAGCAGUGGGGAAUAUUGCACAAUGGGCGGAAGCCUGAUGCAGCAACGCCGCGUGCGGGAUGACGGCCUUCGGGUUGUAAACCGCUUUCGCCUGUGACGAAGCGUGAGUGACGGUAAUGGGUAAAGAAGCACCGGCUAACUACGUG